UACGGGGGGGGCAAGCGUUGUUCGGAAUUACUGGGCGUAAAGGGCUCGUAGGCGGCCAACUAAGUCGGACGUGAAAUCCCUCGGCUCAACCGGGGAACUGCGUCCGAUACUGGAUGGCUUGAGUUCGGGAGAGGGAUGCGGAAUUCCAGGUGUAGCGGUGAAAUGCGUAGAUAUCUGGAGGAACACCGGUGGCGAAGGCGGCAUCCUGGACCGAAACUGACACUGAGGCGCGAAAGCCAGGGGAGCAAACGGG
rnacentral:rRNA from 1 species